rnacentral:rRNA from 1 species
GCUUGUCUCAAAGAUUAAGCCAUGCAUGUCUAAGUAUAACUCUUUUACUUUGAAAACUGCGAACGGCUCAUUAUAUCAGUUAUAGUUUCUUUGAUAGUCCCUUACUACUUGGAUACCCGUAGUAAUUCUAGAGCUAAUACAUGCAUCAAUACCCAACUGUUCGCGGAAGGGUAGUAUUUAUUAGGUAUAGACCAACCCUCUUCGGAGGUGCUUUGGUGAUUCAUAAUAACCGAACGAAUCGCAUGGCUUUGCUGGCGAUAUAUCUUCUAAGUUUCUGACCUAUCAGCUUUCGACGGUAAGGUAUUGGCUUACCGUGGCAAUGACGGGUAACGGAGAAUUAGGGUUCGAUUCCGGAGAGGGAGCCUGAGAAACGGCUACCACAUCCAAGGAAGGCAGCAGG